AAAAUCCUUACAUGUGCUAAUGACAAGAUGUCGCUCUUACCUGUCGUAACCCGAGCUGGACGCUGUCUUUCGACUGUAAACCACGUUCACAAGCUUUCAAGAUGUACCACACCCGCACUUUGGAGGGGCCAGAGGCGGCACAUGUCACAGUCUGAAGCUGUAGAGGAACAGGACUUGGUAGUCAUUGGGUCUGGACCAGGGGGCUAUGUAGCAGCUAUCAAGGCUGCACAACUAGGACUAAAGACAACAUGUGUAGAAAAGAAUGAUACCUUAGGAGGUACCUGCCUCAAUGUUGGUUGUAUCCCAUCCAAGGCUCUUCUUAAUAACUCCCAUCUCUACCACAUGGCCACAUCCAAGGACUUCAAGAACAGAGGCAUUGAUGUUGGUGAAGUAAAGCUGAAUUUGCCUCAGAUGAUGGGACAGAAAUCCGAUGCAGUCAAAGCACUAACAAAUGGUAUUGGGCAUCUCUUCAAACAAAACUCAGUAACCAGGAUUCAGGGACAUGGUAAAAUCACUGGACCUAAUGAGGUCGCUGUACUCCAUCCUGAUGGUAAAAUCAAAGAAGUCGUCAAGACUAAGAACAUCCUCAUAGCAACAGGGUCAGAGGUCAUGCCAUUCCCCGGAAUUGAGGUUGAUGAGAAGUCUGUGGUGUCAUCAACAGGAGCCUUAUCUCUCGAGAGAGUCCCUGAUCACAUGGUUCUCAUUGGAGGGGGCGUUAUCGGCUUAGAAUUGGGGUCUGUAUGGCAGCGUCUUGGAGCCAAGGUCACAGCCGUUGAGUUCUUGGGUCACAUAGGUGGUGUCGGUAUUGAUAUGGAAAUGGCGAAGAACUUCCAAAGGAUCCUCACCAAGCAAGGGAUCAAGUUCAUGCUGAACACCAAGGUGACCGGUGCUACCAGGUCAGGAGACGACAUCAGCGUGUCUGUAGAAUCAGUUAAAGAUCCCAACAAGAAAGAAGAACUUCCGUGUGACACGCUGCUCGUCUGCGUCGGACGCAGGCCCUACACGAAUAACCUAGGCUUAGAGGAGCUUGGAAUUUCCCUGGAUGAGAGAGGGAGGAUACCUGUAGACAAUCGCUUUGCAACAUCUGUACCAAAUGUGUUUGCCAUUGGAGAUUGCAUUCAUGGGCCCAUGCUGGCACACAAGGCCGAGGACGAAGGUAUCAUCGCUGUAGAAGGAAUGGCCGGUGGGCCUGUUCACAUUGACUAUAAUUGUGUUCCCUCUGUGAUCUACACACAUCCCGAGGUAGCAUGGGUAGGCAAGACAGAGGAACAGCUGAAGGAAGAAGGAAUCAAGUACAAAGUGGGAAAGUUCCCCUUCGCAGCCAACAGCAGGGCUAAGACCAAUGCUGAUACCGAUGGUUUAGUGAAGAUGUUGAGUGAUGCAGCUACCGAUAGAAUUCUUGGAGCACACAUCAUUGGGUCAGGAGCGGGAGAAAUUAUCAACGAAGCAGCAUUAGCAAUGGAGUAUGGAGCUUCCUGCGAAGAUGUAGCCAGAGUUUGCCAUGCACAUCCGGUAAGUCUACCAAUGUAAUUGAAGAAUGUUUUACGGUGUGGAACUUUCACACGUUUGGGCCGAUUUACAAAAUGUGUUUGUAGUGGAAUCUUUCUGAUUCAUUUUUAAACUCAAGUUUUGCAAUCGAAAUAAAAAGUGGAGAUGUGAAUGCAAUCUAUUCGAUAAGUUGGCUUAGCUGCAAUUCUACUUUAAGAAAUUGAUCUGAUAUCGCAAUUUUUUUCAUGCACACUCGCUAGGAAACACCAAAAAGAGUUUUCAUACUGAAAAUUAGACCAUUUGGAGCUUUAUUUAGGGAGUUAGAGGGAAAAGUAUGAUUUUGCAUACUAAUUAUGCAUAAAUUAGCAUAAUUGCUUAAUAGCAAUUUGCAUGAAAUAAAUUACUACACAGUUUUGUAGAUUAUGUCCAAGACAACCUGCGUGCCAAUUUUUCGGGGCGCGAUCGCGCGGCAAACGGAAGAGAUCUUAAGGGGGGGCCUGGAAGGCCCCCCCCCUGGCCAUAUGAACUCCAAAAAUACCCAGGCCUAGAUAGGGUUAAACCUGGGUUAAAGUUAAACCCGACUUCAGAAUACGGGCUGUAAUAUACUUGUGCGUGAUGAAAUUGAGCUGUGCAGUUGUUUGGAGAAUGCAAUGAAAGAUAUGGUAUUUUCUCAAUACUUUAAAUUUGUAUUUUUCUUGACUCCUUCAAAAAAGUAUUAAACAUAUAUUUCCGAUAAAUGAAACUUCCAACAUUUUAACAUUGAAUGUUAAUCAAGAAGAUAUGAACUGCAUCUGUUUUAUGAAAAUUAAAAUGAAACUUUGUAGGUAUUACAAGCUGGUUGAUAUUUGCACCAUUUUUUUUUUUUGGGGGGGGCAUUCCAAUGCAUUCCAAUAGUUUCCAAUGUGAUUGGAGCUUUUAUGCCGAAGGGAAUGCAUCUUACAUGCCAAUUUUUGUUUCUUGUUUUUUUUCUUUCAGACCGUAUCCGAAGCAUUCAGAGAAGCCAACAUGGCAGCAUACAUCGGGAAAGCUAUCAACUUUUAAUAAUGCACUUUCAUCGGAAUACAAUUUGAAUAGAUCCUCUGUGCUUUAAUAUCUUUAUUCUACAUGUAUAGUUUUAACUAUUUGCUGCCCUGUGAGUAACCGUAGUGGUUUUGGGGAAGAUAGGUAUAUUGUAUGUGUUGUGCCAUAGUUAUUUAUAUACUUUCAGAUAAGAAUUACUCUGUGAACACUGCUUUGAAAGCAUGACCCAUGUAUGUAGAGCCUCAAAGUAUUCUAUAAGAAUUGGCAUUUUCACCUUUUUAAAUGACAAACCCUGACCAUAUGAUGGGGUGUCAGUUGUUGCAGACCUCCAUUGUACCUUUUGAAAUGCAUAGCAUGUACAUAAUACUGAUAGAUUUAAAUAUAUUAACACUCCUGUAUUUAUGCUAAUGAAAUGUUUUCCAAGGACAGUUCAUAUUCGUUCACUGUGCUGGUUAAUGGUACUAAACAAUGAAUCAUCCACAUAGGGUGCUUGGCAGAACCAUUUUAAUUAAUUGAUAAUUUCAUAAAGACUUGUUAUAAUAACAAAUGCAUAGUUUUCCUGACAAGUUUAUGAUCAGCCAAUGAAAUUGAAGGAUUGAAGUAUACAGUUAUGUAAAGUUUAAUGAAACUGGGCCCAAGUCGUGAUAGUUUGUCAUUCAAUGGCGAAUUCAGUGAUUCUUUUUGGUUUGUUUUGAUUGGAUGAGAAGUACUGUUUCUACGGUUACUGUGGAUGCCAGCAUGUCAGCGAUGAAAACCGUCACAAAGCAAUGACAAUGGCCUUGUAACACAGAGCUUAGUGCUUGUUCUUACGACCGAUAUUUAUUCGUGACAUAAACUUGAUCAUUAUGUGCAAUCAAGCAUACAAAUUAUCUGUAUCAUCAAUUGCUAAGCUUUGUGUUCCAGGUCCAAGAAGUUUUGCUAUGGACACAUUCAUUAGGAAACCCAAUCUAAGACAGACUGCAUGAUAUCACAUUACAUGUAUUGGCAAUAUCGUAUGAAUAAUGUUUCUCACACAUCACUGCAUGAACAGAGCUUUUAAAGCCUAAAGUUCUGUUGUUAUAUUCAUUCUAUUUCUGUGUACAUGACAUACCACAGAUGUAUGUACAUGUGUCAAGAUUUGUCAAGGACUUGAUACAUGCCUUUAUAGCUCUUAAUUGCAUUGCAUGAUUGGACUGAAUUUUUGUACAUCACAAGCCAGCAUGACGAUCCAAACAUGGAGAGUCCUACUUCAAGUAGGUUCGCUCUUUGCACAUUAUUUUUCCCUGGAAACUACAGAAAUUAAAAAAUCAACUCUUUCACAGAAAUGAUCGUACAAAUGAAAACUCUGGUGUUAAUUUGAUAAAUGCAAUCAGAAGAAUGCAGUGUUCUGAGGAAUACCCUUUCACCAUUCAACAAUCCUGUCCCAUAAUGUAUUGCGAUGCAAGAACUGUAAAUGCACAUAUUGAAAUCAACACUGCUUUGCCCUUAUGUAUCAUUUGAUGAAAAUUACAUGCAUGUGUGAUAUGACCAAGGAAUAUCAAUCAAGCACAAUGAUCAUUAGAUAUCUAUCUUUGUCGACUUUUUGAAAUUUCCUCAGUGUUUUAAGCUGAUUUCCAACACAUUGGCUCUAACAAAUAUUUCAUUAUUUUUUUUUGCUUUUUAAAAAACAAAUAUAAGAUUGCAUACCGGACAUUAUUUUCAUCCUGAUGUGUUUCUUUUAAGUCUUUUUUUAUAUUUUAAAGAGAGAAUCAAAGACGGGGAGAUGGAACUAUGAGAAACUCAAUCUUUUUAGUCAUGGCAUUUAUUCAAAUAUGUAUGCUAUGGUGGAUUGGUGACAUUGCCCUUAAAUUCACGGGAAGAAUAUCUGACAAGUGGGCUUCUGAAGCCAUUAAAAAUCACAGUUCAAUGACUAUAGAUCUGAACUUAUCCAUAAGCAAAGGCUUAACUAUACAUAAUUUAAUUUAAAAUUCAUUCAUUCUUAUUUUUUGUCUCAGCUGUGAGCAAGCUGAUAAACAGAUUGGAAAUGAAAAUACUUGAUAUUGUAUUUUGUUUUACCAUGUGUUGUAUUUAAUUAUGGUGACCUUAAAGAUUUGGGUUUUUUAUGCCAGGUGUUGGGAGUUGUGUCCCAAUCGAAAGCUGUAUUUGGAGAAAAGGUUUACUUUAAGAAAUAAAGAUUUGAAAUUAUCCUGUAAAA